GAUGAACGCUGGCGGCGUGCCUAAUACAUGCAAGUCGAGCGAACAGACGAGGAGCUUGCUCCUCUGACGUUAGCGGCGGACGGGUGAGUAACACGUGGAUAACCUACCUAUAAGACUGGGAUAACUUCGGGAAACCGGAGCUAAUACCGGAUAAUAUAUUGAACCGCAUGGUUCAAUAGUGAAAGACGGUUUUGCUGUCACUUAUAGAUGGAUCCGCGCCGCAUUAGCUAGUUGGUAAGGUAACGGCUUACCAAGGCAACGAUGCGUAGCCGACCUGAGAGGGGGGACGGCCCCAUGGGAACGGGACACGGGACCAAGCUCCGCAGGGGGGAGACAGAAGGGAAUUUUCGCCAAAGGGGGAAAGCUUAGCGGGGGGAGCCGGGGGGGGGUAGAAGGGUUUUGGGGCGUGAAAAACGUUUUGUUGGGGAAAAACAAAGUGUGAAGGAAAAGAUCACCGAGUGACGGUAACUAACCAGAAAGGCACGGCUAACUACGUG
rnacentral:rRNA from 1 species